GGGCCGGUAGCUCAGCGGUUAGAGCAGCGGACUCAUAAUCCGUCGGUCCCAGGUUCGAAUCCUGGCCGGCCCA
rnacentral:tRNA from 1 species